rnacentral:rRNA from 1 species
UACGGAGGAUGCGAGCGUUAUCCGGAUUUAUUGGGUUUAAAGGGUGCGUAGGCGGACUGUCAAGUCAGCGGUAAAAUUGAGAGGCUCAACCUCUUCCCGCCGUUGAAACUGGUGGUCUUGAGUGGAUGAGAAGUACGCGGAAUGCGUGGUGUAGCGGUGAAAUGCAUAGAUAUCACACAGAACUCCGAUUGCGAAGGCAGCGUACCGGCAUCCAACUGACGCUGAGGCACGAAAGCGUGGGGAUCAAACAGG